rnacentral:rRNA from 1 species
UUCCCGGGCCUUGUACACACCGCCCGUCACACCAUGGAAGCUGGUUAUACCCGAAGUCGUUACUCUAACCAUUUGGAGGAGGAUGCCUAAGGUAGAAUUAGUGACUAGGGUGAAGUCGUAACAAGGUAACCGUACUGGAAGGUGCGGUUGGAUCACCUCCUU